CCUGGAAAACGGGUGGUAAUACCGGAUGCUCCGCUCCAUCGCAUGGUGGGGUGGGAAAUGCUUUUGCGGCAUGGGAUGGGGUCGCGUCCUAUCAGCUUGUUGGCGGGGUGAUGGCCCACCAAGGCGUUGACGGGUAGCCGGCCUGAGAGGGUGACCGGCCACAUUGGGACUGAGAUACGGCCCAGACUCCUACGGGAGGCAGCAGUGGGGAAUAUUGCACAAUGGGCGCAAGCCUGAUGCAGCGACGCCGCGUGCGGGAUGGAGGCCUUCGGGUUGUAAACCGCUUUUGUUCAAGGGCAAGGCACGGUUUCGGCCGUGUUGAGUGGAUUGUUCGAAUAAGCACCGGCUAACUACGUGCCAGCAGCCGCGGUAAUACGUAGGGUGCGAGCGUUAUCCGGAUUUAUUGGGCGUAAAGGGCUCGUAGGCGGUUCGUCGCGUCCGGUGUGAAAGUCCAUCGCCUAACGGUGGAUCUGCGCCGGGUACGGGCGGGCUGGAGUGCGGUAGGGGAGACUGGAAUUCCCGGUGUAACGGUGGAAUGUGUAGAUAUCGG
rnacentral:rRNA from 1 species